AAUCAACGCUGGCGGCGUGCCUCAGACAUGCAAGUCGAACGAUUAAAGCUCUCUUCGGAGAGUGUAUAGAGUGGCGCACGGGUGAGUAACACGUAAGUAAUCUACCUUUGAGUGGGAAGUAACAUCGGGAACCGGAAUGCUAAUAACCGCAUAAUGCAGCGGCAUCGCAAGAUGACAGUUGUUAAAGAAUUUAUUCGCUUGAAGAGGAGCUUGCGGCAGAUUAGUC
rnacentral:rRNA from 1 species